CACAUCCGGCGCGGCGGCGGUGGCGUCUCCGCGCUGUGGGCCGGGCAGUAGUUAGUCUUGUGGGCGGUGGAAGUGGUCUAGGCCGGAGCAGUGAAGCCGGUGUGAGCCGGGAGGACCGGCGGGGUGAGGAGGGUGCGGGAGGGAGGUGGAGAGCCGCCUCGGGCUCUCAGGAGCGUGUGGCCGCCGCCUUCCGCUUGCCGCCCGCCCGCGAUGUGCAGGCGCGGCGUGGGCUUGGGUCACCUGUGCGCAGCCGCCGCCCUGCCCUACUGGCUGUCCGUUGGGUGCUCUACAGAUCAGCUGUCGUCCACGCUGGUCUAGCCCCAAACUCUCAUUUUCAUUUUUUCCCCACCAGCACCCUAUCCCGACUGCCCCUGUCCUGUCUCCCGCCAUGCACUUCCUCUCCCGCUCUCUCCCCUCCGGCCAACCCAUGCCGCUCCCCGCCCCCAAGACUCCACUCUGGCUGUGUACUCUGUGUGCACUUUCUAACCUUGACCCAAGCCUGCAUCCCGACAUGGGUGGAUGUGCAAGUGUCCAUCUCACUCUCGGUCCAAAAGGGCUUUUCCGAUUGGGGCUGAGCAGAGGGGUCAUGUUUGCCUUCCCUUUCAGAUUAUGGACGGUUCCUUCGUGCAGCACAGCGUGAGGGUUCUGCAGGAACUCAACAAGCAGCGCGAGAAGGGCCAGUAUUGCGACGCCACACUGGACGUGGGGGGCCUGGUGUUCAAGGCGCACUGGAGUGUCCUGGCGUGUUGCAGCCAUUUCUUCCAGAGAAUCUACGGGGAUGGCACAGGGGGCAGCGUUGUCCUCCCAGCGGGCUUUGCUGAGAUUUUUGGCCUCCUGCUGGACUUUUUCUACACUGGCCACCUCGCCCUCACCUCAGGGAACAGGGAUCAGGUACUCUUGGCAGCCAAAGAGUUGAGGGUGCCUGAGGCUGUGGAGCUAUGUCAGAGCUUCCAGCCCCAAACCUCAGUGGGACAGGCACAGAGUGGACUGGGUCAACCUGCCUCCCAGGACGUGAAAAGCCACCUGAAGGAGCCGACAGACUUGGAUGAGGAGGAAGUUUUCAGGACUCUGAGCCUGGCCUCCGUGGAUCAGGAGCCCAGAGACACUGAGCAGCCCCAGCUGGGUACACCUGCUCAGAGCACCACGGCCUUCCUCUGUGGGAAACUCACGCAGGCUUUGAAGCCUUCUCCCUCAGAGGACAAAGAGUCUGAGGACUGCAAAGAGCCCCCAAGGCCCUUCGAGGCUGGAGGUGCCCCGCUGCAGGGCGAGAGCAAUGAGUGGGAAGUGGUGGUCCAAGUGGAGGACGACAGGGACGGUGAUUACGUAUCUGAGCCUGAGACUGUGCUAACCAGAAGGAAGUCAAAAGUGAUUAGAAAACCCUGUGCAGCCGAGCCAGCCCUGGGUGCGGGUUCUCUCACAGCCGAGCCCACUGACAGCAGAAAAGGUGCAGCCGUUCCGGUCGAAUGUCCCACAUGUCACAAAAAGUUCCUCAGCAAAUAUUACCUGAAAGUCCACAACAGGAAACACACUGGGGAGAAACCCUUCGAGUGUCCCAAAUGUGGGAAGUGUUACUUCCGCAAGGAGAAUCUCUUGGAACAUGAAGCCAGGAAUUGCAUGAACCGCUCAGAACAGCAUCCCCUACCCCAGGCAGACACUUACCAGCAGCGUUUGGAAGCCCCUGCAGAGGCUGCCGUCGCAGGCAGAGGCCCUCCCUGAUGCUGGCCCUGCUUGCCCCUCACACUGCCAGGUCUUCACAUGCUCCGUAUGCCAGGAGACCUUCCGACGGAGGAUGGAGCUGCGCUUGCACAUGGUGUCUCACACAGGGGAGAUGCCCUACAAGUGUUCCUCCUGCUCCCAGCAGUUCAUGCAGAAGAAAGACUUGCAGAGCCACAUGAUCAAGCUGCACGGAGCCCCUAAACCCCACGCAUGCCCCACUUGUGCCAAGUGCUUCCUGUCUAGGACGGAGCUACAGCUGCACGAGGCUUUUAAGCAUCGUGGAGAAAAGCUCUUUGUGUGUGAGGAAUGCGGGCACCGGGCCUCGAGCCGCAACGGACUGCAGAUGCACAUCAAGGCCAAGCACAGGAAUGAAAGGCCUUAUGUCUGUGAGUUCUGCAGCCAUGCCUUCACCCAGAAGGCCAACCUCAACAUGCACCUGCGCACACACACCGGCGAGAAGCCUUUCCAGUGCCACCUCUGUGGGAAGACCUUCCGCACCCAAGGUGAGGCAGGCCCAGCCCCUCCUUGCCCCAGGGCUGAGACAGCCACUGAGUUCCACCUUGUCCCCCAUAGCCAGUUUGGACAAGCACAACCGCACCCACACGGGCGAGAGGCCUUUCAGCUGUGAAUUCUGUGAGCAGCGCUUCACUGAGAAGGGCCCCCUUCUGAGGCAUGUGGCCAGCCGCCAUCAAGAGGGCAGGCCCCACUUCUGCCAGAUCUGUGGCAAGACCUUCAAAGCUGUGGAACAGUUACGAGUGCACGUCAGGCGACACAAAGGUGUGAGAAAGUUCGAGUGCACCGAGUGUGGCUACAAGUUCACGCGGCAGGCUCACCUGCGGAGGCACAUGGAGAUCCACGACAGAGUGGAGAACUACAAUCCCCGGCAGCGCAAGCUCCGGAACCUCAUCAUUGAGGAUGAGAAGAUGGUGGUCGUGGCUCUCCAGCCCCCUGCAGACCUGGAGGUGGGCUCUGCUGAGGUCAUUGUGGAGUCCCUGACCCAGGGUGGCCUUGCCUCCCAACUCCCUAGCCAGAGACUGUGUUCAGAGGAGAGCUUUGCUAGCCCUGGCGUCCUGGAGCCCUCUCUCAUCAUCACCGCUGCUGUUCCCGAGGACUGUGACACGUAGACCCCUGCCCGGAUGGCCCCACUGACCAAUAAACAUGUGACUUAGCACUUG